GUGGGUGAAAAGGAAGAAAGAGGGAUGAGUGAGCUGAGGUUGUGGAGGGUGAGUUCUUUUAUGUAACACCUUCGCCAGACACCAAUGGGAGAAGGAGCUCCCAGGGCACCCACUCCGUGGGAGGAAGACGAGCGAUGACAUCCCUGAUGAUGCUUCAAAGAAGCAGCCCCAGGACAGAAAACUAUUUGUCCAGAGACCCGGAUGAAUGCACCGUGGGUCUGCAAGCUGGGGUCUGUGGUCCUGAGAAGGCAAAAGAAUCUAUCUUUAUUCUUAGAGGAACUGCCUGCUGCUGGCAGAGAGACAGUUGGCUCUUGAAAGCAUAAUCCUUAGAAUAUUUUAUUUGUAGUUAAUACAUCAGAGCAGAGACGGCAGAAAGAGAAAAAUCGCUACCCUGGGACUAAGAGAAGAGUCCCAUCAGCCCAGCCCAGCCAACAGGUGUAUAGUAACCAGCUCCCAACAAACUUCAGUGGGGAAUGCCCAGGGAGAGGAAGUGGGGCGGGGAUGGGCUCCCGCACAGACACACAUGCGCACAUGGAGGAAGGAAGCCCUGCAGGCGGAGAAACCAUCUAGAGAACCUCUGAACACAGCCAGAGCUGAGCGAGCUGAAGCUGAAUAUCAGUGUGUAUAGAUGUUAAAGCAAGGAAGAUCGAUAGUAGACAGCAGGAAGAACUUCCUGGUGAUGUUGCUGAUGAUGGAGCUGGAGGCUGGGCUGGACGAUGGUCCGAGGACAGCGACCACCCCCUUGGGGAGGAUCUGACACACUGCAGCCAGCGGCAGGGACAGGGAAAGAAGCAAAGCACUCAUCAGAUACAAAAUCAACAGAGAGAAAUUAAAGAGCAGAGUCAAGAUUCAACAGCUCCACCCAUUUCCCCAAAGACCGGCCCCUUAACCACUGCACCGCACAGCCAUCCCCAGCAAAUGGCAAUUAACUGGGAUGUUUGUAGAUUGCCUUGGCCACUGGAACACUGAGUUAUUGUCUUCCCUUUUUUCAUUUCACUACUUUCUAUAAUGAGCAUGUAUUCCUUUUUAUAACAUAUUAUAAAGAAUACAAUGCUAUAAUAAAAACAUUCUUCUGAUGAGCAAGUAAAAUUCGAGUGACUCUGGUCUCCUUAAGUCCUGUCUUUGCAGCCCCUUCUCCCACCGUGCCAUCUCCCGCUGCAUGCCAGCUCACCUAGAACAUACUCUGUACAUAUUUUCCUGCCUGAUCCUGUUCCCAAAUGGCUAUCUCUAGAUCAGGGGUUCUUAACCUGUAGCCUGGGG
rnacentral:lncRNA from 10 species